rnacentral:tRNA from 1 species
GGCAAGAUGGCCGAGUGGUCUAAGGCGCACGGUUCAGGCGUACCAAGCUGGACCUAUUUGAUGCGACUAGUCGUAUCAGGUUUCCGUGUCUCGAAAGGGGCGAGGGUUCGAAUCCCUCUCUUGUCA